UACGUAGGGUGCGAGCGUUGUCCGGAAUUAUUGGGCGUAAAGAGCUCGUAGGCGGUUUGUCGCGUCUGCUGUGAAAGCCCGGGGCUCAACCCCGGGUCUGCAGUGGGUACGGGCAGGCUGGAGUGCAGUAGGGGAGACUGGAAUUCCUGGUGUAGCGGUGAAAUGCGCAGAUAUCAGGAGGAACACCGAUGGCGAAGGCAGGUCUCUGGGCUGUAACUGACGCUGAGGAGCGAAAGCAUGGGGAGCGAACAGG
rnacentral:rRNA from 1 species